CGCCAACAUUCAGGGGUGACGGUAAGCCAUGCUGCCCUUCCUUCUCCUUUGUCCCAACUCAGCUGUCAAUGCUCCCAUGCCCCCCACCCCCCCAGUGACUCUGAGCUGUGUUGUAAUAACUCUAUUCAAGUAAACGUUCUGGCAGGACUCUUGGGGAGGCUCUGACUGGGGCUCAAAUGCUCUGUCCCAAAGCAUGGGGAAUACUGAGAUGUUGGGGAAAUGGGUUGGCUCAGCAGAACCACGUGCUUCAGGUUUCUGAGGAAGUAGGGUCUGACGGGGACUGAGGCUCUUGUGGAACCAGUGAGCGUGGCCCAGGUGGCACAACACUGCUGAAUUGCAGUGAUGAGUACACCUGGCUCUCGGCCUCCAUUGGAAGGGCCAUCCGGGAGGAGCUACUGGCAGAGGUGUCUUCUGCCCUGAUGAUCUUUGAGGGGGCUCUACACUGUGCAACGUCCCUUUUCCGAAUUCUCCAUUAGAGUAAAACUAUAUUUAUACACUGCGCACUAAAGCUGAGCAGAGAUUCGAUGUCACUUAAAUUAAUGUUAGCAACUACUUGGCCCCGCUCUCCUUUCGCAGGUGAGGAAAGCUUAGAAUCCUCUCAAAUAUAAUUGGGAGAAAGAAAUAGGCAAAGCCCUCCUUUGUGCCCGUGCUCGCAGGCCUGACUGUUCAUUACGACGAAGGGAAACAUGAUCCUGACGAUGACCACGGGAGAAAACGGGCUAAGAAGCGACCGCAGGCAGGCGAGGACCUUCGGUCCCCUUCCCAGGCCUGUGGACCGGCCCUAACUGUGCAAGCUAGUGACGGCCCUAAUAGUCCUCAAAUUCCCCAACCUGCAAUACGGGGAUUGCAGGAGCUAAAAAUAGAGCCGUGAAGAGCUCCGGGGUAAUGACUGCAGCCUGCCUUUUCCCUGCUCGGAGCUAAAUAGUUCCACUUCCGCUAGCAAUUUUUCUAAGGCUAUAUCCGCCAGCAGUCUAAUCGACUGUGAGGCUGCGGAUUACCCGCCCCGAGACUUCCCUCUUCUCUCGCAUUGUGGGUCCAGAGCGCAACCCAGUCCUGGAUCUGUCAGAAUCGAGGCUGGAUAAUGGGGAGGAAGCAGGCGCGUUCCUGAAGAGACGACCGUCUCCAGUGGAAUAGAGUUUCAACAUAUCUCAGAGAAAGCCUUCUUCUCAUCAGGCAAGAGUGAACAGGGGCACAGCAUGAGUGUGUAUCUGUCUGUCUGUCCUCCACAGACACUUUACUGUAGCUUAAUCGCUGUGACCUGCCAACAUCCCAGGAGCGCCUGCUCUUGUAGCUGUGGAAGCUGUCGAGUAGAUUUCCCUUAUUGUAGAAGAACUACGCUUCCCUUAACUUCACACAGCAGCUGGUGCUCUGUCAGGGGUUCUGCCUUUGAGGAACUGCUCUUCCUAGAGGCGAGAAAGUCUCCUAGACAAGUGACAGAUGGGACUGAGGAAAUGCCCUUCAGGAUGGAUUGUUCUUUGACCCUCUCUUCCCGGGUGGACUUCCUGUUGUCUUGAAACCUGCAGGCCCAAGUGAUCUGAAGGAGGGAACCAACCGCAAGGGGCCUCUUGGGUGCCUUCACUCUGAGUGAUAUCACAGGUGGGCCCAGGGGCAAACCCCUAGAUAUACAGUCGGUCUUCCAUUCUCCUCCCCUCCCCCAGUCAGCUCUCUCCGUUGCUACAGCUUUCCACAAGUCCAGAGGCUUUCCAGCUUCCUGCCUCCUUCUUUUCCAAGGCACUGACCUCUCUUCAGUCACCCUUACCCAUCAGUUCUGUGUCUGUCUAGAAAUCUCCCAGGCCAUGGCUUACUUCCUAUCUAGAAAGUGCUGAGUAAGAUCAGGCCCAGUGAAGGCUUCUCCACACCUCUGCCCCAGUUUGCAAAGUGACAGCUCACCGGAAAGGUCAAAUCUGAGCUUGUGAGUUUCUUUCUCCAAACUCCCUUCCUGCCUGGAGGGAGUCAAUCCAGGGCCAUUUCUACACUGCCUUGGGCUGCUCUCCAGCUCAGCUCACUCGGAGCUGGGUCAUCUGGCCUUUGGGCCCAUCUAUUUUCAAGCCCUGAAGAAGAGAUAAACUGACAGCCAAAAUAUUAAUAUUUGAGGCCGCCGUGGACCGACUGCUUCAUAAAUACUGCUGAGUCGGGGGUUUAUACCAUCCCUUAGCUUCUCUGGCUUAUGGGAGUGCAGGUGACUUGGUGUGCGGCCCAUGACCUGUCCCUCACAUAGCAGUCAAGUAGCGCAUGAGGGAAGUGCUUAAAUAGCCUUGUGCCUUUUGAAUAUAUCUCUCUCAUCUCAUCCCUCCUCCACCCCCCACCAACCCACACAGCCAACUCGGGCUCCUCCUGAAGCCUGUAGAUCCUUCCAGAUGGUUACAUCUCUCAGAAGCAAAAGGAACGUACAUCUCAGCCUGCCUGUGUACAUGCACAUGUCCCCACAGCUUAUUGUCUGAAAGCAGUCUGUAUUACGGCUGACUCCUAUUUGAGGGGGGAAAAAAUCCAAAUUAGUAACUAAGUACUGUUUUUACUCUGCCACUCUUGGAAAGGAAACGUGGAGCCCGUCCACCUCUAGCUACAAUCCAGCCUGGCUAGGCCCUAUCGGUGGCAGAGUUUUUCUUGUCUCUCAAAAGACAGAAGGGGUGCCUCCCCUGGGUUAGUCAGUAGAUGCAGUUAAAGCUGCAUCAGUGUGUAACAACAGACACGUCCCGCUGCCCUCUCACAUGUGAGAAGCCAUCUGCUGAGAACUGGCAUGAGGGCCCUCAGUACAGUGCGGUCACGCUUCAGUCUGAGCCUGAGCCCAACAGCUGACUUUGGCUCCAGACACAUCCCCCAACUGCCAUCACCAGCCUGGAUUUUCAGUCACUUAGAAAGUGCAACAGUGUGAUUUAGGGAGGUCCUGGGGUCCUGAGGUUGGGCCUCAUCUAAAUCUGUGCACCCUCCCCCAGGCAGGCUCCCUGGAGAAAGCCCACUGUCUUAGGGUUUCUAUUCCUGCACAAACAUCAUGACCAAGAAGCAAGUUGGGGAGGAAAGGGUUUAUUCAGCUUACACUUCCACAUUGCUGUUCAUCACCAAAGGAAGUCAGGACUGGAGCUCAAGCAGGUCAGGAAGCAGGAGCUGAUGCAGAGGCCAUGGAGGGAUGUUACUUACUGGCUUUCUUCCCCUGGCUUGCUCAGCUUGCUUUCUUAUAGAAUCCAGGACCACCAGCCCAGGGAUGGUACCACCACCAUGGGCUGGGCCCUCCCUCUUGAUCACUAAUUGAGAAAAUGCCUUACAGCUGGGUCUCAUGGAGGCAUUUCCUCAAGGGAGGCUCCUUCCUCUGUGACAACUCCAGCUUGGGUCAAGCUGACACACAAACCAGCCAGUACACGCACCAUGUUGUUACCACUGAUCAUGGCAGGGAUAGCACCUCCUGGGUUACCUCAUUAGGCUGGCAUUGUCUGCCCUUCUAAUAGGAAUACAAGAUGGUCCAUGAGCUCUACCUCACCCUGAUGAACCAAUCUCCUCUCUGAGGAGCUUCAGGGCCUGGACUUGGAAAUGGUAUUGGGAGGGCAGGUGGCCUCGAUGAUUCCACACUAAGCCAGCAUCUCUUCCCACGAUCUUACCUGUCCUGUAUGCUUGCAGACAUAAAGAAAUGUGGGCACUACAUUAGACCUUUCAAGCUCCACACCACUAUCUAUGACCCCUGUACCCUAAAACAAGGGCUUUGGCCAGGUGUGCUGACUGUAGCAUCAAGAACGCCAUCUUAAACCCACAGCACAGCGCCUUAGGCUUGUUGGGAGCAGAGUAAACAACAGGGCAGCUUUCUCUUGCUCUGUGGCCUCCCCUGAGUAUCUUCUCUUUUUUCACUCACCAUGUGACAUCACUCACCAUGUGACAUCACUCACCAUGUGACAUCACUCACCAUGUGACAUCACUCAUUGCGUGACAUCACUCACCAUGUGACAUCACUCACCAUGUGACAUCACUCAUUACGUGACAUCACUCACCAUGUGACAUCACCCAUCAUGUGACAUCACUCAUCACGUGACAUCACUCACCAUGUGACGUCACUCAUCAUGUGACGUCACUCAUCAUGUGACAUCACUCAUCACGUGACAUCACUCACCAUGUGACAUCACUCAUCGUGCGACAUCACUAAUCAUGUGACAUCACUCAUCAUGCGACAUCACUAAUCAUGUGACAUCACUCAUCAUGCGACAUCACUCACCAUGUGACAUCACUCACCAUGCGACAUCACUCACCAUGUGACAUCACUCACCAUGCGACAUCACUAAUCAUGUGACAUCACUCACCAUGUGACAUCACUCACCAUGUGACAUCACUCAUCAUGUGACAUCACUCACCAUGUGACAUCACUCAUCAGGUGACAUCACUAAUCAUGUGACAUCACUCAUCAGGUGACAUCACUCACCAUGUGACAUCACUCACCAUGUGACAUCACUCACCAUGUGACAUCACCCAUCAUGUGACAUCACUCACCAUGUGACAUCACUCACCAUGUGACAUCACUCAUCAUGUGACAUCACUCACCAUGUGACAUCACUCAUCACGUGACAUCACUCACCAUGUGACAUCACUCAUCACAUGACAUCACUCACCAUGUGACACCACUCAUCAUGCGACAUCACUAAUCAUGUGACAUCACUCACCAUGUGACAUCACUCAUCAGGUGACAUCACUCAUCACAUGACAUCACUCAUCAGGUGACAUCACUCACCAUGUGACAUCACUCACCAUGUGACAUCACUCAUCAUGUGACAUCACUCAUCAUGUGACGUGAAUGUUCUCCCCACACUCACUGCCGGGUGUCCACGCCACAGUCACACAACCCCAUGUACCCUCUGUACACAAGAGCAGACCCAGGAGGUAAGGGAGUGAAGAGGAAGAAGAGGAUGUGAAGGAAGAGACAAGGCCUGGUCCAGCUCUUCCGUUGGCUGGAGCUCCCUUACGCUUCCCUGAUCCUGCUCCUUCCCUUCAGGUUACCUAAGAACAACUACAAACCUGAGCACUGUGUUUAGAUAUACAGUGAUAAUGGUCACUGGUCACUUCAGAGUGACAGGGGCACAUCCAACAGGCUCCAGAGCACCAGAUUACAAUCAAAGCAUUGGACAACGGACAUUUGUGUGCCAUCACCCAUGUCAUGCCAGAUGACACCAUCGGUUAUGACGUCAUCUCACGUGAUGCUACCUCCCCUGAUAUCACCGUUUGUGGUGCCGUACCAUUUGAUACCAUCUCUGUGACAGCAUCCUGUGUCAUAUUGUCUUGUCUCAUGUGACGUUGCUUCCAUGUUUGGUGCUGUUUCGUGCGAUGUCAUCCUGUAUGACAUGACUAGUUAUUUCUGUGGGGUUCAGACCGUCCUCAGGGUGACUGUAGGAUUUCCCUGUACCCCGAUGUAUGCCUCCCCACUUAGUAACAUUUGUGAAUGAUUUGGUCGCCACUCAAAGACCUAAAGAAAUUAUUUUUUUAUUACAUUAAAAAAUUUUAGUGUGUGUGUGUGUGUGUGUGUGUGUGUGCGUGUGUGUGUGCUCACGCGUGCGCACACAUGUAUGUAUGCCAAGCCACAUAUGUGGAGGUCAGAGGACAACUUGUGGAAGUUAUGCUACUUGGUUCUCCACAAUGUGCAUCCUGAGGAUUUGAACUCAGGGCUUGGCAGAGGUGACUUUACCCAUUAAGCCAUGUCACUGACUUGGAAAGUCUUUUUUUUUUUUUUUUCCGUUUUUGCAUCUGAAGGAAUGUUAAUUCCAGGUGUGCUUUGAUGAUAACAUUGUAUUUGAUUGCUGUUACAAUAGCAACAAUGUACUGGUUAGUUUUUAUCAACUUGAUACAAACCAGAGUCACUUGAAAAACAGAGAAACUAUAGAAUUUCUACGGGACAUUUUCUUUUUAAAGAUUUAUUUAUUUUGUUUUGCGUAGUGAGUGUUUGCCCACACACAUGUUAUUUGAAAGGUCUAAAAGAAGGGAUUAGAACCCCUGGAAUGGGCUGUGCACUGCCACACAGGUGCUGAGAACUGAACCUGGGUCCUUGGUCAAGAGCACCAACUGCUCUUAAACCACUGAACCAUCUCGCCAGCCCAAGUGAGGCAGCUUCUUGAUUGCUAAUCGCCAGGCCAUGGUGGGCAGGGCUCUCCUCAUCAGGCAGUCCUGGCUGUGUGGGAAAGCUCACUGAGUGUGAGCUGGUGGGUGCAAGCUGGUAAGCAACUUUCCUCCACGGUUUCUGCUUUGAGCUUCUGCCCUGGCUUCCCUGAUAAGCUGUACUGGUGGCUGAAAUAAGCCCUUUACUCCCCAAGUUGCUUUUGGUCAGAGUGUUGUGUUUUUGUUUCUUUGUUUUUUUGAGGGGGGUUGUUCUUUGUUCAUUUGGUUGGUUGGGUUUUGUUGUUGUUCUUUAAUCAUAGCAAAGAAAGCCAGCUGGAACAAGCAAUGAGUCACUCUUUUAAAAGACCACAGUGGGGGUCCCCAUUGGAGGAGUUCGAGAAAGGAUCGAAGGAGCUGAAGGAACUUGCAACCCCAUAAGAACAACAAUACCAACCAACCAGAGCUCCCAGGGACUAAGCCACCACCCAAAGACUACACAUGGACAGACCCAUGGCUCCGGAUGCAUAUGUAGCAGAGGAUGGCCUUGUUGGGCACCAAUGGGAGGAGAAGCCCUUAGUCCUGCCAAGGCUGGAUCCCCCCAGUGCAGCGGAAUGUCAGGGUGGGGAGGUGAGGAGUGGGUGGUUGUGGGGGGACACCCUUAUAGAAGAAGGGGGAGGGAGAAUGUCCUAGGGGGUUUAUGGAUGGGAAACCAGGAAAGGGGAUAACAUUUGAAAUGUAAAUAAAAAAUCUAAUAAUAAUAAGAAGAAGAAGAAGAAGAGGAGGAGGAGGAAGAGGAGGAAGAGGAAGGAGGAGGAGAAGAAGAAGAGGAAGAGGGGGAAGAGGAAGGAGGAGGAGGAGAAGAAGAAGGAGAAGAAGAAGAAGAAGAAGAAGAAGAAGAAGAAGAAGAAGAAGAAGAAGAAGAAGAAGAAGAAGAAGAAGAAGAAGACAAUGACAGUGUUUAAGAAAACCAGAAUGAUUUCCAUGAAACCCAAGGCAGGAGCUCUUUGACUCUUUUUGUUAUUUUGUCUUUUUUUUUUCCAGAGCUGAGGACAGACAGGGCCUUGCACUUGCCAGGCAAGCUCUACCACUGAGCUAAAUCCCCAGCCCCACUCUUUGGCUCUUUAAGGAAACAGCAUCACCAAUGGGUUUAAUAUGAGGACUGGCCUGGUGGGCCAUGGACACAGCCUCAAGAGCACAUGUUGAUGGAUUAAUAAUGGCUGAGCUCUGGUUAAAUGCACUGAAGAGGUUUUUCUAAUGGGAAGAACUGAGGGGUAGGCUUUCAGCAGGCAUCUUUGAGGAGUGUAAACCAUGGUCAGUCAGGAGGAUCUGCUGAUUGGGAUCAUAAGCCCCCAGGCAGCCUAUGGCUACAGAUCUUGGACAAGCCAGGGCCUUGCCUGUUCCUACAAUGCCUCUUGAAGAAUCAGCAACAGCAGCGAUGGUUGUCUACUGGGCAGUUUCGGUACCUUGAUUCUGACAAGCACUGCUACCACAGCGGUCCCUUGGAUAUGAAUUUAGUUUGAGCAUCUGAGUAGCUGAGGCUUGGACAACCCAAUGAGCUACCCACAGCUCACAGGCAGGAGGAACAACUCCUCGAUGGAGAGUCCAGCCGCCAUCAGCGGGAGCACGAGGAAAGCCUUUGUUCAGAUUGGCCAAGGGUUGGUCAUCUGCCUUCUUGUUUCCUCUUCUAGCAAAUGGUAAUCAAGACCCCCUCCUCACCAUGCCAGGCCCUGUGUCGCCUGCUGUGACUAAUUUGGCCACCAAACAGUAGGCUGUGUGACCUUAAGGGCUUGGCUAACAACAGGUCAGUAUGCGGAUUUUGAAAAUGUUUAUUUUAAGAGCAGUUGUGCGGCUAGACAGGCAGAGUUCUGAGAGAGAAAAGGACCCCGUGGCAGGAGGGUAGCGCUUAAGCUUGGAUUGUGACCCGGCUUAAUUGUCCUGUAUUUGCAGUGGAGCGGCUGGAAAAUUCCUUAUCCCUCAACACCUACAAGCCAGAGAUUACUAGGACCAAAAAUAAAAAGACGCCCCACAGCUUUCCAAACAGGUACAACCUUGAUUGAAGGCUCCCCCGAGACUCCCCCAGUGUGCCUGGCAGGAACUCCGAGAAGACAGCCGCAAUUACAGAAGCAUUUGCUAGCGAGAGGAAAGAAAAAAAAUCAAAUGCUGCUGGCUUUAAAAUGCUCUUGUCAGAUUGGAUUCGAGCCAAGUUAUAAAUGUGUGGAUUUGGAUUUUAGAAGGAAAUUCAGCAGCCCAGGGCUGCAAGAGUAAAAGCCAGUCCCACAGAAGGGAGAGUGUGGAUAUCAACAGGGAGAGGACGUCUUUCCAGAUAUAACGAGUACACACACCCGGCCUUGAAACACGAGGGAGAGUCUUCUCAAUGGGAGACAGGUCCAGAAACUGCACCUCCCCACCAGAGACAGACCCGGCCAGCCCAGAGCAGCUGCUGUUACUCACAGAGGCCUCUGGUUUCCUUCAAGGUAGAACAGGAGUUUGUCCCCAGCUGAGGUACUGUCCUACCUCUUACACUCCAGCAGAGGACAAGGCUGCUCCCACCCCAGCCACAUGGAGGGGUGAGCCUGGUGUGCGGGCCUGGAUUCUUCCCAGCACAGGAGCUCAGCUGUCAUUGCUGCUGCCUGCUCUCCACACAGCUACACAGCAGCACCGUGGAGAAGGGGCUACCUCUGGAGAGAAAAAGUCAGAGACCAAGCAGCCCAAUACUUAGGACAGUGGUUCUCAACCUGUGGGUCUUGACCCCUUUGGGUCAAAUGACCCUUUCACAGGGGUCGCCAAAUACCAUUCUGCAUAUCCAAUGCUUACAUUCUAAUUCAAAAUGGCAGGAAAAUUACAGUCAUGAAGUCGAAAUAAAAAUAAUUUUAUGACUACAAAGCUUCUGAAAGGCAAAGGACACUGUUGUUAAGACAAAACGGCAAUGAACAGAUUGGGAAAAGAUCUUUACCAAUCCUACAACUGAUAGAGGGCUUAUAUCCAAAAUACACAAAGAACACAAGAAGUUAGACUGCACAGAGACAAAUAACCCUAUUAAAAAUGGGGUUCAGAGCUAAACAAAGAAUUCACAGCUGAGGAAUGCUGUAUGGCUGAGAAGCACCUAAAGAAAUGUUCAACAUCUUUAGUCAUAAGGGAAAUGCAAAUCAAAACAACCCUGAGAUUUCACCUCACACCAGUGAGAAUGGCUAAGAUCAAAAACUCAGGGGACAGCAGAUGCUGGCGAGGAUGCGGAGAAAGAGGAACACUCCUCCAUUGUUGGUGGGAUUGCAGACUGUACAACCAUUCUGGAAAUCAGUCUGGGGGUUCCUCAGAAAAUUGGACAUUGAACUACCUGAGGACCCAGCUAUACCUCUCUUGGGCAUAUACCCAAAAGAUGCCCCAACAUAUAACAAAGACACGUGCUCCACUAUGUUCAUCGCAGCCUUAUUUAUAAUAGCCAGAAGCUGGAAAGAACCCAGAUGCCCUUCAACAGAGGAAUGGAUACAGAAAAUGUGGUACAUCUACACAAUGGAAUAUUACUCAGCUAUCAAAAACAAUGACUUUAUGAAAUUCAUAGGCAAAUGGAGGGAACUGGAAAAUAUCAUCCUGAGUGAGGUAACCCAAUCACAGAAAAACACACAUGGUAUGUACUCAUUGAUAAGUGGAUAUUAGCCCAAAUGCUCGAAUUACCCUAGAUGCACAGAACACAUGAAACUCAAGAAGGAUGACCAAAAUGUGAAUGCUUCACUCCUUCUUUAAAAGGGGAACAAGAAUACCCUUGACAGGGAAUAGGGAGGCAAAGUUUAGAACAGAGGCUGAAGGAACACCCAUUCAGAGCCUGCCCCACAUGUGGCCCAUACAUAUACAGCCACCAAACUAGGUAAGAUGGAUAAAGCAAAGAAGUGCAGGCUGACAGGAACCGGAUGUAGAUCGCUCCUGACACACACAGCCAGAAUACAGCAAAUACAGAGGUGAAUGCCAGCAGCAAACCACUGAACUGAGAAUAGGACCCCCGUUGAAGGAAUCAGAGAAAGAACUGGAAGAGCUUGAAGGGGCUCGAGACCCCAUAUGUACAACAAUGCCAACCAACCAGAGCUUCCAGGGACUAAGCCACUACCUAAAGACUAUACAUGGACUGACCCUGGACUCUGACCUCAUAGGUAGCAAUGAAUAUCCUAGUAAGAGCACCAGUGGAAGGGGAAGCCCUGGGUCCUGCUAAGACUGAACCCCCAGUGAACAUGAUUGUUGGGGGGAGGGUGGUAAUGGAGGGAGGAUGAGGAGGGAAACACCCAUAUAGAAGAGGAGGGGGAGGGGUUAGGGGAAUGUUGGCCCGGAAACCCGGAAAGGGAAUAACAAUUGAAAUGUAAAUAAGAAACACCCAAUUUAAUAAAGAUGGAGAAAAAAAUAAUUUUAUGGUUGGGGGUCACCACAACAUGAGGAACUGUAUUAAAGGGUAGCAGCCUUAGGACGGCUGGGAGACACUGCUCUAGGAGGUUUGGAGAGAGUGGCUGAGCAGGGGUUUGGCACGUGGCAGGGAGAGAGGCAUGGUUUCGCUUGCCAGAGCCCUUUGCUAUAUUUUGGUGCCAGGCAUCCACGAGGGAUGUUGCCCUCCCAGUUCUGGAAGCAAAGACGUUUGCCGGUUUAUUGGCCCAAGGUGACGGCCAAGAAUGGGUGCCAGAGGGCAGUAAGCCUUGGGAUUGAGAGCAGCUGUCUUAAAAGUGUCGCCAACACAGGACAAGGCUGCGAUGGCAAAUUCUCACUAUCUGCAGAGGCCUGGAGACCCCGUGCCUGUGGGAUGUGACGCGUGGGGGAUCACCCUCCUUAGCUGUUCUUAGCUGUUUACCAUCAUGGAAUUAACCAAGUACUGUGGGGCGUUUUGUUCAUAGCGUGAUUCCUUACGGUUUAUUUAACACACAUACCCACACAUGCAUGUGCAGGUCAGGGAAAUUCCAGAGAACCUUCAUCGAAUUCAAUAGGAAGAAAGCUAUCCCGGUAGAUGGAUGCAAGCUCACAGGUCUCUGUGAGGAACAGUGGAUCCACCAGCACUGCCCGUGGGCUGUGGAAGCUUGGGGACACCUUCCUGAAUCCUCAAUUGCAGGCCUUUAGCCGGUUUCGCUCCUUGCAACGUGGUCUGGCUACUCCUGUGGACAGCGUUAGGAAUGCAGGCUGAGUCCCAGCCCCGCCCCCUCCAUCCCCUCCCCCACCCCUAACCCGGGAUCAGGAUCUCUGGCUGAUUCCAAACAAUAAAGGUGUGAGGAGCUUGAGCUCAGGGUCUCCGAGGGCUCAUCUGACUGUGGGUUCGUUUUAUUUUUGAGAAAGGAGGGGCGGGCUCUUCAAAGGCCAUAAAGGGACCUCGCAAAGCUCCACGGAGUGGUUCUGGUCAGUGAGCAGAGGAUUGUUACUAUUGGAUGCUAGCUCAGAGGGAUACACAAGCGGCUAGGGCAGGCGCGGUCAGAGUGUUGGAGGCUCUCCCGAGUCAGAGAGCUAUUAUUAUUAAAACUGAGCACUCAUAAACUUCCAAUUAAAUAUAUUAAGAACAAAACUCAUCGAUUCCUAAUUACUCCUCUAAGCCUUCUGAACGUAGCUACACUCCAGGAGGUCACUGAACAGUCGCACCGGUGUAUGGAAGCUAUGGAGUAUGAACGAGGUUGGCUGCAGGACUCACGGGCGCCACCAGGCAUGUGAGGUGCUGCCCAACAAUGUUUGGUGAAGGAGUCUUGUGCAUACAUACAUCUCGCCACACACACCUACCUCCGAUAUGAGCAGUGACCAGCCACCCUGUGUUUUCUCUGCAUCCAUGGGAUAUGCUUCUAGACAGACCUGCUACAGGCCUGGUGUACUGGCUGGUUCUGUGUGUCAACUUGACCCAAGCUGGACUUAUCACAGAGGAAGGAGCGUCCCUUGAGGAAAUGCCUCCAUGAGACCCAGCUGUAAGGCAUUUUCUCAAUUAGUGAUCAAGGGUGGGAGAACCCAGACCAUUAUGGGUGGUGCCAUCCCUGGGCUGGUGGUCUUGGGUUCUAUAAGAGAGCAAGCUGAGCAAGCCAGGGGAAGCAAGCCAGUAAAUAACAUCCCUCCAUGGCCUCUGCAUCAGCUCCUGCUUCCUGACCUGCUUGAGUUCCAGUCCUGACUUCCUUUGGUGAUGAACAACAAUGUGAAAGUGUAAGCUGAAUAAACUCUUUCCUCCCCAACUUGCUUCUUGGUCCUGAUGUUUGUGCAGGAAUAGGAAGCCUGACUAAGACACCUGGGGAAGAGAGAAAAGCUCUCCUUUUAUUGCUGAAGUCCCCAACCAUGGCGUGGGCACCUUACACAACCAAGAAUGUCCUCGAAAUGUUCAAGAGGGUCAUGAGUACUUGGGAGAGUGUGUGGAUGGCCACAGUAGAGCAAUUCAGAGGUCACAGGGACAGGUCGACCUUAUGGCCUGAGCUCUACAGGUAGGAUAGCAUCUGGCAUGGGACCCUCAGCUGUCUCCGUUACAUGUCCCCACUUCCUAUCAGUGCCACAUACUCUCAACUCCAUGGGUGAAUAUAAAUGUCAUGUUUCCAUCUUCAAUAGACCAUGUAAGACGACUUCCUCAUGUCUAGCAUGCCAAUGGCAAAGGAAACAAUUGGCUGCUUGUGAUGGUUUGCAUAUGCUUGGCCCAGGGAGUGGCACUAUUAGAAGGUGUGGCCUUGUUGGAGGGAAGUGUGUCACUAUUGGGGUGGGCUUGAAGACCCUCCUCCUGGCUGCCUGAGGAUGCUCAGUCUGUUCCUGGCUUCCUUCGGGUGAGGAUGUAGAACUCAGCUCCUCCUGCACCAUGCCUGCCUGGAUGCUGCAAUGCUGCCGUGCUCCUGCCUUGAUAAUGGACUGAACCUCUGAACCUGUAAGCCAGCCCCAAUUAAAUGUUGUCCUUUAUAAGAGUUGCCUUGGUCACGGUGUCUGUUCACAGCAAGAGGACCCUAACUAAGACACUGCUUGGAUCCACGAGGACAGACCUGCUCACAAGGACAGUGGGCUUCCCACACCGAGGGCUGAGUGCUUCUGAAGCAGAGAAGCCAGGCUCGGGGGGGUAUCCUCCCGUGUACCUGCUGGUGGGCGAGCCUGUUCACUCAUCCUUUACCUGAAAGCUCCUCAGGCUGUGUGAGUGAAGCAUCCUCAGAGAGCUCAUUCCGCUUGCCCUGUGCCCCUCGGUGUCGAGCAAAGCUAGUCCCAUCAGAACUCUUGACACGGCACAGUAAGCAUCAUGGCCCAUCCCUGGGUUGUUAGAAGCCAUGUCCUACAAGUCCCGUGCCUGGACUGACCUGGUUUCACUGGCAGCUGCAGCUCCUAGGAAGGACGCAUCCUGGAGCCCAGCAGCUCCGAGAGCACCCAGGGACAGAGAGGACCACAGAUCCCACCAGAAGCCAGGGGAGCCUCCUUGCUUUGUACCAGAUAUUAGCCCGAGCCAGCAGGGUGAGGGCAGGGAGUGAAGCCAUGCACAUGGGCUUCUGAGCCUCCCACAUCUCUCAGUGGAAAGAUCAGAAGGAUCUUCUGCCCCCUGAUGUGUGUCUAGGGUCAACUUCGUAACCAGCACUAACUGAACCUGUAUUAAACAUGCUGACGAAUGAGACGGUAGCCUUCUGCAGAAGCCAGAGGCCUGAAUGUAAUCCGGUGUACACCAGCCAUUGAACUUAGAAUGUAUGCAGUGCACAAUGCAUGAAGCCACUGGCUUGGUCUGCCAGUCAGGCUGGAUGAGCAGGGUCUAUCUAACACAGUGAAAUCCUAGCUGAAGCAGGAAAUGCCUGGGGCUAACACCGGGGUUGCUGAGCACUGGGAUGCAGGCUUCACGCAACUCUACCUUUUUUCUAUCAUUGCUUUUGAACUGGAACCCGUGUGUGUGCCAGCGAGUGCUUGCCUGGCUAUCCCCCGGGGCCUCUGGCUCUGGGUGUCCUGAAGUGGACUCUCUUUCCUCGGUAAAGAGCAAACUCGAGGCUUUUCUCCCUUGGGGUCUCCUCUGACUUCCAAGGUCGGGUUGUACAUCGUGGAGGGGAGAGACUCCGUUUUUUUCUGACUCCAGAUCACGAAGGUAUUGUAGCAUCCGCACUACCCCUAGGGGAAUCACAUCUCCAUCAAACCGUGUAUUUACACCGGCAGAAAGUUUCUCCUUCCUGGGUGGGCAUGCUUACGGUCAAAGACCAGACAACAGACAACUAUCACUGAGGAAACAAACUGGGAUCUUCUGUCGAAGGGUUAAGACGUCCGUGGGCUUGGUUCUAUUUUAUUCUGCCCUGGAAGAAGUGGGGCAAACAGAAAAAGAGGCAGUUUCUAUGCAGAAACGCAAAGGUGCUUGAGUUGGAUACGGCCGUUCCUGAUGCUCACCUCAGACUCUCUCUGUCUUUUUAGCUCUAGUCAUAAGGUAAGAGCGUCUCUUGGCUUAAACUAAGUACUGUUGGGUCCUGGUUCAUCAUCUGGUGUCCUUCCUCUGAGGGUGAACAGCUGGGCACGCUUGUGGAGUUAGCAUUUGACACUAUAUUCAAAUCAUUUCUUUUGUCCCCAGCUCUCCACUCUGGCUCUCGAGUUUCUCUGGCUCUUAGCACGGUGCCCAGGAGUAAUCAUAUUUUCUGAGUGUGCGGAACUCCGUGUUGGCACACACAUCUCCCUGUGGAGGUCGUGGAUCUGUGUGUCCAGAGAAGGUAAGAGAGCUCUGAUGUGACAACAGCCACCUCAAUACCCUUCCAGCCGUAUUCAGUCCAAAUCCCAGGCCUUGGCUAUGGUUCUGUCGUCACUGUGGGAUGCCUCCAGUGGAGCUGAGGGUGCAGCCUCUCUUGAGCAGCAUUUUUUUUUCUCCUGCUCUCAGCACUGACUUCCUGUAGAGGCCCAUGCAAUUCAGGGCUAAUCCAUGCUGCCACGCUGGUUGGCAGGCAUGGACUCCACUUCCCAGAAGAAGAGCCUAGUGCCAGCUGCAAGUGGUGGGAAGUGGACCUGUUAUCCACACUGGGGGAUUCUGGGUCUUGUAGUCUGGUGUGGUGGCCAUGGGUAUUUGUACCCCAGGAUUUAUCCAGUGAACUGGGACACUUCAGAAGUUGUGGGUCACGGUGAGAAGGAGGUCCGUGGGACUACACAUGCUGUGCUACUUAGAGGGGGUGUUGCCCCCCAGCCCACCAUCGAUUGUCUUCAAAGCUGGACAUUGUGUUUCACAUUAUUUCCACUGCGUACGUACAACCAGAGGCCUACCCGCCGCCUGCAAGGAUAAAGGACUGGCAUUGCGUUGACCUCAACACUGUGGGAGAGGACUAAUCCAUGUGGAUAAAGUAACAGAUCAUUUAGAUGCCGCUGGUGGGCAUGGCUGGAUCCAGCGAACGCUUUUUCUCAAAAUGCACAAAUGUGUUUAUGAAGGAAUAAAUGCAAACGAAAGGC